UACGUAGGGGGCUAGCGUUGUCCGGAAUCAUUGGGCGUAAAGAGCGCGUAGGCGGCCCGAUAAGUCCGCUGUGAAAGUCCAGGGCUCAACCCUGGAAUGCCAGUGGAUACUGUCGGGCUAGAGUACGGAAGAGGCGAGUGGAAUUCCUGGUGUAGCGGUGGAAUGCGCAGAUAUCAGGAGGAACACCAAUAGCGAAGGCAGCUCGCUGGGACGUUACUGACGCUGAGGCGCGAAAGCGUGGGGAGCGAACAGG
rnacentral:rRNA from 1 species